CUUAGCUUGCUAAGGCCGAUGGCGACCGGCGCACGGGUGAGUAACACGUAUCCCACCUGCCGUCUACUCUUGGACAGCCUUCUGAAAGGAAGAUUAAUACAAGAUGGCAUCAUGAGUUCACAUGUUCACAUGAUUAAAGGUAUUCCGGUAGACGAUGGGGAUGCGUUCCAUUAGAUAGUAGGCGGGGUAACGGCCCACCUAGUCUUCGAUGGAUAGGGGUUCUGAGAGGAAGGUCCCCCACAUUGGAACUGAGACACGGUCCAAACUCCUACGGGAGGCAGCAGUGAGGAAUAUUGGUCAAUGGGCGCAGGCCUGAACCAGCCAAGUAGCGUGAAGGAUGACUGCCCUAUGGGUUGUAAACUUCUUUUAUAAAGGAAUAAAGUCGGGUAUGUAUACCCGUUUGCAUGUACUUUAUGAAUAAGGAUCGGCUAACUCCGUGCCAGCAGCCGCGGUAAUACGGAGGAUCCGAGCGUUAUCCGGAUUUAUUGGGUUUAAAGGGAGCGUAGAUGGAUGUUUAAGUCAGUUGUGAAAGUUUGCGGCUCAACCGUAAAAUUGCAGUUGAUACUGGAUAUCUUGAGUGCAGUUGAGGCAGGCGGAAUUCGUGGUGUAGCGGUGAAAUGCUUAGAUAUCACGAAGAACUCCGAUUG
rnacentral:rRNA from 1 species